AGGCAAAAUGCACGGUGUCCAUUCUGUUGGGUGAAGAGAAGAGACGCCAUCAGAUUGCUUUCCACACCCUUCGAGUCAAACCCUUCUUAUGCCUGAGGAGAGACUUCAUGGCGUGGCCUUUCUUAUGGCUUCUGCCUCAUCUCUGCCAGCCUCCCGGUGCCCCCCUGGCGCUGGGCAAGCCGGGCCUGGCUGGUCCUGCCUUUGGACUUUGGCACGUGCCGUUCCCUCUACCCGGGAUGCUCUAUCCCCAGAUCGCCUUGUGGCUGCUGGGUGUCGUCCAGUCUCAGCCGACCUGCUGCCUUGGAAAGCAGCCCUCACCUGUCUGGUCCAUUUGGGGAGUUCAUAAAUCGCCUUCACCCCAGUCGUCAGCAUCUGAAACAGCCCUGCUCAUCCAGGUAGUGAUUUCAUAGGUGCUCAGUAAGCACAGUUGUCAGAUGAACAGGUCCUGCUUACUUGCAGUGUUUAUUGAGUAAAAAUCUACUGUGCACAAUUCUUUCAUUCAACAAAUAUUUACUGAGUGUUUCUAGGCCAAGUCCUGCUCCAGGUGCCGGGGAACCAGCAGCGAACAGGUCGACAAAGUCCGUUCUCUUCGGAAGUGAACGUUCUGGUGGAGGGAGACAGAUAAGCAGACCUGCAGGGAACUAGAUCUCCGGGCGAGCAGCGCCAGGGCGACAAGUCAGGCAGAGAGGAGCGUUGAGCGGGCUGGAGCCAGUGGCGGGAGAAGGCCUCUGGUGAGUUGCUCUUUGGGCCGACGCUUGGGCGAGGUGAACUUGACCGAGAGUUUGCUGUGGACACAGCAACCACCCACUUCCCAGGAAGGGAGUUGGAGGCCCAGGGGAGUGAAGGCCUCUUGCAGGGCUCCCCUGUUUAGAGGUAGGUGGAGCCGGGAUUUGUCUCGUGACUCAUGAGCUACUCCUCUGUCUAAACUUGGUGUCCCCCGAGUUCUGCCUGGUUCUCAUGGUUGACAGGUAACUCUUAGGCUUUAUACUCGGUAAUGCUGGGAUUACAGCGUGCUGCUCCUUUACCAGGCAGUGGGCCGCGAGAGCUUGAGUGUCUUGGGCAAAUGCUUAACCUCUCUAACGCGUCCCUUUUCUCAUCUGUAAAAUGGGCAUAAUGCUUGCACCUACCGUUCGUUUGUUGGGAGGAUUAAGCAAGAUUACUGCAGAUUACGUACGCGCUCAUGUGGCAUGUGGAAAACACUUAGAAAUAUUAGCUGUCCCCAUCUCUCUGGCUGUCCUGAUUGCCAGCCCCACGUCUCUGCCUGUCCCUCACACCCCUCCAGACACUGCUUUCUUUCCAGACUCAGGGCAGCUUUGUUUGUGUUCUCAUUUCCUCAAGAGGACCAUUACAAGGUCUUGCGUUCACUGUGGACACAGAUCCUGCCAAACCCCAAGCUUAAUAGGCUAGAAAGUCAAAGCAAAAUAUUUUGGUUCUCUGAAGCGGUGGCUAGGUCGGGAUCCUGUUUCUACAUCCUGCCAGCUUAUAUGAACGGAAGAGAUGGUUCAGGCCCCGCCUGCAAACCACAACUUUGUUUUGAGCCAGCUUGACUUGACAGCUUCCCUGUUGUACCUGCUGGCUUCUUAGCUGUGCUUUGGCAGCCAGGAGAGCAACUAAACCGGUUUACAGCGAGCCAUUCAUCACCCGUAAGGCUGAACGACUCCCAGGAAAAUGAGGAAUUAAGUGGAGUUGAUCUUUCUCUCUCUCUUCCUUAAGUUUUCCAUUGUACGUCUCGGACUGUAGAAAACCCACGUUCUGCUUUGGCAGGAGAAACCUGAUGAUACAUUUAAGGCUUGUUGUGAAACACUUGGGUCUUUGUACACAUGUUCAUUUUCUCCCUUAAUGAGCACCAAGGCUUUGCUUCCCCAUUUUGGGUGGAAAUCCACAAAGGCAUGUACCUGUUUCUGGUUCUUCCUUGAGAACACGUGAAACGCGAACCGAGUCGGGCUGGAUCCUCAGGGCGAACGCCGGGCUUGGCGUGAAGCGUGUCCGCUGGGACGUGUGCGGCACCAGUACACGGGCCACGUUUAGCUCUUUCCCAACCCCCGUGUUUGCUCUUCUGGUUUUGUUUUUGCUUCUCUUUCUCCCUGUCGCUACCGACGUGCUUUCUUUGUGCUUCGUUGCUUCUCAUACACCAUGAGCGGCAGAACCAGAUCGUCAAGCGUGUUAAGAAGGAGCGGGCUCUGCACGUGAGGCUAAGAGUAACGGGCCGUUCAUCUGAGAGCCUGAGCUUCGUGGCUGGGGUGUCCCAGGGGCAAGAAAGAAACAUGUUGCUCGCUUCUCGGUCCAGGUUGUAAUCCGGAGAGAGGCAGGAUUCCUGGUGAGUUUUGGGUAGGGGUUUAAUCUUCUCAAGUCUUAGGGAGUCAAAAACCCUAUCAAAGAUGCAGUUAGAGAUACAAGGCGCAUUUGGCGUUUGGGUUGGACUGUUAUGGAUUAAUAAGUAAGUAACGCCCUAUAUCUGGCUCUUAGUUAAAUUUGAUCAUCUCUGGGCAUGUCACUUUUUCCACUGAUUUUUUUUUUUUUUUGUAGUGGGGAUACCUUUUUUUGCCUUGUUGAUUUGUUAUGAAGAGAGACAAAACACUUGUAAGAUGUUUGAGCAUCUGUAUUCAUAGAAAUCAUUACCUUAACGUCUUUGGGUCGUGCCAGUGAGACUGAGUGUGACGGGAUAACCUGUAGACCCGAUUCGCAGGAGUCGUCACUCACAUUGUCUCCGCAGGUAGGCUUGUGUUUGGCACUUGGAGCUCACAUCCAAUAGAAGGUGGCAGGGCAGACUCCCCUAAGUCUGUUGUCUCCUCACCAUUGAAAUAUGUGGGCGUUCCCGCUGUGGCGUCAUGGGUUAAUGUUCCAGCUUGUCUCUGGAGGUGCCGGUUCGAUCCCUGGCCUGGCUCAGUGGGGUAAGGAUCUGGCAUUGCCGCAGCUGUGGCUCAGGUUCAGUCCCUGGCCAGGGAACAUCCAUAUGC
ensembl:lncRNA